rnacentral:rRNA from 1 species
GUGGGGAAUCUUGCGCAAUGGGCGAAAGCCUGACGCAGCCAUGCCGCGUGAAUGAUGAAGGUCUUAGGAUUGUAAAAUUCUUUCACCGGGGACGAUAAUGACGGUACCCGGAGAAGAAGCUCCGGCUAACUUCGUGCCAGCAGCCGCGGUAAUACGAAGGGGGCUAGCGUUGCUCGGAAUUACUGGGCGUAAAGGGCGCGUAGGCGGACAGCUUAGUCAGAGGUGAAAGCCCAGGGCUCAACCUUGGAAUUGCCUUUGAUACUGGCUGGCUUGAGUUUGGGAGAGGUGAGUGGAACUCCGAGUGUAGAGUGGAAAUUCGUAGAUAUUCGGAAGAACACCAGUGGCGAAGGCGACUCACUGGCCCAAUACUGACGCUGAGGCGCGAAAGCGUGGGGAGCAAACAGGAUUAGAAACCCGGGUAGUCC